rnacentral:rRNA from 1 species
CCUACGGGUGGCUGCAGUGGGGAAUUUUGCGCAAUGGGGGGAACCCUGACGCAGCAACGCCGCGUGCGGGAUGAAGGCCUUCGGGUUGUAAACCGCUUUCAGCAGGGAAGAUAGUGACGGUACCUGCAGAAGAAGCCCCGGCUAACUACGUGCCAGCAGCCGCGGUAAUACGUAGGGGGCGAGCGUUAUCCGGAUUCAUUGGGCGUAAAGCGCGCGUAGGCGGCCCGUCAAGCGGAACCUCUAACCCGAGGGCGCAACCCCCGGUCGGGUUCCGAACUGGCAGGCUCGAGUUUGGUAGAGGAAGAUGGAAUUCCCGGUGUAGCGGUGGAAUGCGCAGAUAUCGGGAAGAACACCGAUGGCGAAGGCAGUCUUCUGGGCCAUCAACUGACGCUGAGGCGCGAAAGCUGGGGGAGCGAACAGGAUUAGAUACCCCGGUAGUCAGG